rnacentral:rRNA from 1 species
UUUUCCUGCCACCGAAUACAUUAGCAUGGGAUAAUGGAAUAGGACCCUGACCUCCUAUUUUCAGUUGGUUUUGUUUAUACAGCGAGGUUCAUCAGGGUAAUGAUUAAUAGGGAUAGUUGGGGGCAUUAAUAUUUAAUUGUCAGAGGUGAAAUUCUUGGAUUUAUGAAAGAUUAACUUCUGCGAAAGCGUUUGCCAAGGAUGUUUUCAUUAAUCAAGAACGAAAGUUAGGGGAUCGAAGACGAUCAGAUACCGUCGUAGUCUUAACCAUAAACGAUGCCGACCAGCGAUUAGGAGACGUUGAAUACAAAACACCGCUGUUAGUUCUCUUUCGGGGACUAAUAGUUGGUGAAUGACUCCCCUAGCACUUUGUGAGAA